rnacentral:rRNA from 1 species
GACGAACGCUGGCGGCGUGCCUAAUACAUGCAAGUUGAGCGCUGAAGGUUGGUACUUGUACCAACUGGAUGAGCAGCGAACGGGUGAGUAACGCGUGGGGAAUCUGCCUUUGAGCGGGGGACAACAUUUGGAAACGAAUGCUAAUACCGCAUAAAAACUUUAAACACAAGUUUUAAGUUUGAAAGAUGCAAUUGCAUCACUCAAAGAUGAUCCCGCGUUGUAUUAGCUAGUUGGUGAGGUAAAGGCUCACCAAGGCGAUGAUACAUAGCCGACCUGAGAGGGUGGUCGGCCACAUUGGCACUGAGACACGGCCCAAACCCCUACGGGAGGCAGCCGUAGGGAAUCUUCGGCAAUGGACGAAAGUCUGACCGAGCAACGCCGCGUGAGUGAAGAAGGGUUUCGGAUCGUAAAACUCUGUUGGUAGAGAAGAACGUUGGUGAGAGUGGAAAGCUCAUCAAGUGACGGUAACUACCCAGAAAGGGACGGCUAACUACGUG